UAUUAAUAAUUUUUGUACUUUUUUAUUAUUGAUUUUUUAGCCGUUAAGAGUUGAGCUGAAAUACUAUUAUUAGUAUGGGUUAAUUUCAUAUAGGUCACUAUAAAUAUAGUGAAUUGUAAACAUAUCUCUACAAAGUUCAACUUCCAUAUGUUGUUUUUAUAAAAAUCUUGAUGUUUUUAAAUAUAUUCUUGCCGUCAGGAUCCGUUAAAAAAAAUUAGUUAACUAUAGAUAAAAUACUUAACCCUAGUUAGUUAAUGAGGUGAAUUGAUCUUUUUACCCAUCUUUAAUUAAUAGUUUGGACUUUUGAAGAAAUAUAUUUGUGAUGCCAAAAAGUCAUUUCACUUAUAAAAUAAACAGUAUUUUAACGGUAACAAAUCAGAGGGACAUAUUUGAAAAUAUUGGGACUCUUAUAGGAACAACAUAUGAAAAUUGAACUUUGCAGGAAUAUAAUUGCAAUUCACUAUAUUUAUAAGGACCUACAUGAAAUCAACCCUAACAGUAUUUGUACUUUUUUGCUAUAAUUUUUUAGCCAUUAAAAGUUGAGCUGAAAUACUAUUAAUAGUAUUUGGAUUCUUUUACUAUCGAUUUUUUAGCCAUUAGAUGUACACUUUGAUCAAUUUCGUCCUUUAGAUUAUACUAUUCAACAAACAAUAUUUUAUUAUUGAUUUUCGUAUCUAUAAAUUUUAUUAUCUGUGCUAGGCUCGACUAUAAAAUAUUGCACAAUUUAAAAAAUGCAUCUGACCGAUCUAUCUCUUUUCACAGAAUCAAAAGCUCCAAAUUCAAAUUUCUAAUUUUGAGGCUUUUUUUUUUCUAUAGCAGAAGAGGUAUUACUUUUUUUCUUUUGUUUAUCAAACAUAUUUAUUAAAUCGACUAUUGCUGAAAGCAGAAGCAGGCUCAAAAAGCUCCUAAGCCAAUAAAGUAUACUUUUUCUAAACCCAGACUAUAAUAUUGCUAAAAAGUAGGAACUGAUCUUUUCUUGUGCACAAUCAAAAGCAGUAAAUUAGAGUUCCAUAAAAAAUUACUAACUAAUUUUUUUCUGUGCAAAAUGAGAAGCAAUAAAUUAGACUCUCUGCUUUUAAGGCUCAAAAGUUAAUUUGUAAUUUUCACUACGACAAAGAUUUUACUUUUUUUACUAUAUUAAAUAUUUAAGUAAAUUAUUCUAUUGCUGAAAACAGAAGCAGAUCUAACAAGCCCUUAACCCAACAAAUGCGCUUUUACCAAACCUUGAUUGUCUUAUAUUAGAAAAACCAUUGACUAAUCUUUUUUCUAUGCAAAAUGAGAAGCAAUAAAUCAGACUUUCAGCUUUUAAGGCUCAAAAGUUGAUUUGUAAUUUUUCACUAUGACAAAAUUUUAAUUUAAUUUUUCUCUAUCAAAUAUUUAAUUAAAUGGGAAAAAUAUUUUUUUUACGUUUCAACGUAUUUCAAAUAUAUUCCUAGAGUUAAAUUCUGUUAAUGAACUAUUAGCAAUAGCUGUUAUCUGUAUAAAAUUACCGUUUUACCCUUUCAAAUAUACCCUUCCACCAUCACCGACUUUUCUUAUUUACCCUGAAGUUAGGAACACAAAAAGUAUUUUGAUUUUUGGUCUUUUCAAAUAUACCCCUCUACCAUCACCAACAUUUCUUAUUUGCCCUUAAGUUAAGGACCAAAGAGGCAUUUUGAUUUUUUUUUUUUUAACUCUAGUAGAUAUUUAACUCAUGUUAAAUCCAAGUUAACUUAACGGAUGAUAACUGCAGGGGUAUUUCGGAAUAACGGAGGAACAUAUCAGGAAUAUAUUAGAAAGAAAAAAAAAAGUAAGGAUAAAUGAGAUAUUUUCGAAAUUUUAAGGGGUAUAUAGGUAAUUAUCCCUUUAAUUAAAUUACACAGUAGCUGAAAGCAUAAAUGAAGUCAAACAGGUCCAAUUUCUAGGCCAGUAAAAUACACUUAUUACACCAACCCUGGUUGUACAGCUUCUCCCAACCACACUUGUAGCUAAUCAAAACAUGUUAGCUUUAAAAGUACCCUAAGGUUUCAGGUGGGAGAGAAAGCUCCAAACUUUUAUCACCAUAAUAAUAAUAAUAAUAGCUUCCUCAGAACCCUAUUCAUGGAGAGAGAGACAGAGAGAGAGAGAGAGAGAGAGGAGAGGUCAAAACACAUGUGUCUACAUAAAAGGGGGAGCUUUCUGAGUGUUUAGGUAGAGAAAGAGGGGGGUUAGGGUUAGGGUUUGUGGGGUUUCUUUGAAUUUUUUUGUUAAAUUUUUUUCCUUUGUUGGAUCAAUUGCGGUUUGACCAAGCUCAUCCACUUCAACACCCUCCUCUUCUUCCUUUCCAUAUAUAUAUAUUAAAGAAAAAAAAUAGAGCUCUAGGAAAAAGGAGCUCCUUGGUUUUCUUUGAGGUAUGGUCUCUAAUUUUCCCUCCUAUUCUUCUUGCUUGGAUCUCAAAGAUGGUAUUUUUGGGGCUUUUUUUUGUUUUUUUUUUUUUGGGGGGUUGGGUAUUGUGAUUUCCCCCCACCCCCCUGUUUUUGUGUUUGGAUUUGAUUUUUACUGUUUUGGCCAAGUGGAUUUUGCUUAAAACUUGAAAAAGGUGGGAUUUUUGGGUUUUUUUGGGUGAUGGGUUAUUGUGAUUUUCCCCCCUUUUUUUGGUGUUUGGUUUUGAUUCUUACUGUGUUUGGGCAACUGGGUUUUACUUAAAACUUGAAAAGGUGAGAAUUUUUAUCUGUUUUCAUGGGGUUUUUUUUUUAAGGCUUUGAUUCAUGUGAUUUUGUUUUUGUUUUCUUCAAAAUUUGAAAUUUAGCAGUGAGACUGGGAUUUGAUCUUCUUUUGUGAUUUAUUUUGUUUAAAUAAUACUACAUGUUCUCCAUGUCUAUGUCCAAUAAUUAAUUUUGUGCUUCUCCCCAUCAUGAUCAUAAUCAUGUGUGUACUGUACUAUAGUUCAUAUUUUACUUCAGAACCAAAAUUUUCACAUAAUUUCUUGUUUUUUCUUUUUUGUUUUAUUUUCCCUUGUACAGGCACUGUUACAAUUCAUUUUGGUGAAAACCCAUUUAGGAGUUGUUCUUAGAUUCAGGAAUUUUAGAUCUUAAAUUUAGAAAAGAAAAAAAAAAAAAGGUUAAACAUGUUGAGACAAAUUUCUAGUAGAAACCACAGAUCCAAGGGAUUCAAAUUGAAAAAUGCCCUUCAAAUUUGCCUCUUAGUAGUUGUCACCAUUUGGUUGUUGUUCCAAGUUAAGCAUUCGUAUGAUAAGAAGUCCGAGUACGAAGACCGAAACGCGCAUUUGUCGAUCAAACACGAGCGCAACGGUGAUCGGCACGAGGCGUUCGAAAUCGGCCGAAAAGGUCUUCCCCAUGAUGUCCGAAUCGAGGACGAGGUGAGCGAAGAUGACCUCGAGCAAGAGUUGCUCAAACACGACGAGAAUGGCGAGAGCGAUGCGAUCGACGAGCAGGAUCAGGGGAAGGACGACGACGGCGGCGACGAGCAGAGCGUGUUCGAGGAUGCGGAGAGCAACAAGGAGGGGGCGAAUGCGGCCCGAGAGGAGAGCUUUCGAGGGGACGACGUCGCGAGCGCGGUGGUGGUCAGCCACACUGGUCGGCCGGAGGAGCGCGGAGACCACUCUCGCGAGGCGAGGGAGAAGAGCUUUAACGGCGAUAACGUUUCUAGUGCCGUAGCUCACGAGGAUCAUUUGGAGAGCGCGGAGAGCAAAGUCGGGGGCGGUGAAAAUUUGACAUUCGUCGAUUCGACUAGCGACGGGGGUUCAAAGGAUCGCGAAGUGACGCCGAAUAAUGAAGUUUCGUCAAAUUCGACGGUUGAUGAACCGAACAACGACACAAAACCGAGGGUUGAUCCGACUACUACGAAUGUCAACGGCAACCGAACGGAAACGCCGUUUAGUUCAUCAAACAAAACAGCUGGUCAAGAAGCAAUAGAGAGUCCGACGAAUGCGACAACCGUGUCGAGCAACCAGAUUGAGCUUUCGACUAACCUGAAUGAGACGACAAACUCGGGUUCGGGUUCGGCUCGCGACGGAAACGGCACGGUGAUUCAAAUCCCUGGAGACGACAAGCUCAAUACCGGCGCUACUACAUCAUCGGCUUCAAGCGAGAAAGGAGAAGGGAAAGUGGAGUUCCAGGAUGCGACGCGGAAUAUGGCCGAGGAAGAAAUGAGAGAAGUUCCGAUCGCGAAAAUUGAAAAACUCGCAAAAAGUGGUGAAGAGGCUGUGUUGGAGUGAAUCUGAGAGAGUGUUUAACUCAAAAACUCUUUAAGGAUCUUGGUUUUUCUAGUCUCUUUCUUUUUUUUUAGUUUUUUUUUUUUUCUUUUUUCUUUUUUGGUCUCAGUUUAAGCAUCACAUACAUACUUUAAUAUGAGAAAGAUGUAACAGAACAACACAUCAUGAGUUUUCAGGAUCUAAAUGGUAGGGAGAUGUGUUGAAUGAGAUACUAAUCUCUGCAGAAGUGUUGUAUAAUGGAAACUUCAAAAACUGCAGCUUUUCAUAUACCAAUUGUAUUUCUUUAGUAUCUUUUACACAGAUGUAUUUGUGUUAUAACUGUGUCAGAUCUCUAAUAUAAGUUGGCAUCUGAAAACAUAUAAUUAGUUAGUAGGCAUGAGAUUCAGAGUGUCUGCUUCAACAUCCUUCUUGUGGUGUGGUGAUCUGAUCGCAUUCCCAUCCCAUUUGCGUUUAAUCGAUCGAUUUCGAUCGGUGUUUGUUGUUCCAAAGUAAACAGUUCGAAGCAGAUUACUAAAUGAAGAGGAAUGCCUCUUCGUCGUCCAGCAUCUGAAACAACUUCUCUGAUAUGCAGCCGAGCUUUCUGGCAUGGUGGUGCUUUUGCUGCUCGGUUCCAUAAAAGAAUAAGAAGGCCGGUAGUGCUUUUCGAAUUGCUUCUACUCAAGUAGUAUUUUACGGAAUUCUCUAGCACAGCUUUUCAGCUACGAGAAGCAGUAGCCAAGAAUUUAGCAAACAAAAAAAAAUUCAGGGUUUUAAUUCUGCCUAGAAGCUAAAAUUUGAGUUUCGAGCUCUUACAGAUACUUUUGCUUCUGCCAUAAUUGAUAGUGCUUUUUCGAAUAGCUGACUCGUAAAUUAUAUUUUGGUGCAAGUCUCAACCAAUCAAAAGUUUUACGAUAAGAUAUGUGAAAAGGGUCAUUAAGAAAAAUAAGAUUUUCUCAGUCAAAGGUUGUGCUAUCUUAAAUAAAGAAAUGAGAUUUGUGUAGAAAUUUGCAAAAUAAAUAAAUAUUUGAUUUAAUUUUCUACGAUUUUUUUUUGACCAUUGGAAACUUCUAGAAUUUGCCUUGAAAAUAUUGCAAGUGUUGGACUUUGGUGUUUCCACUGGAAAUUUUUUAUUGGAGUUUUUUUUUUCAAAAAAUAAAAAUAAAAAUUGGAUGGGUGCUUUUGGAGUGACCAUUGAUUACUAUUUGAAUUUCCGGAGCUAAACUGCACUUUUGAUCCCCAACUUUUUUUUUUUUUCUUUUCUUUUUCCGCGGGUUCCUUAAAACUUUUAGCCUCCGUUUGGUUGGGAGUUAAGGGGUGGAACAACCCCUUAACUCCCAUUUUAUUCCCAAACAUUUCUAAAAAUAAAUGAGGUUAGCUAACCUCACCUCAAAUGGGUUAUUCCGGAUUAGCUAACCCCACCUAACCCCACUAAACCCCAACCAAAUACUAUUUUUUAUUCAUAAUAAUUCACUAUUCUUCUUAUUCCACCUACUCCAACCAAACACUAUUUUUCACUAUCCUGGCUUAACUCUAACCUCCAACCAAACACAAAAAUACUUUAACCCCACCUUAACUCUAAACUUAAUCCUAUUCCUGGAAUAACUGAUUUUUUUUUAAUCCCGAACCAGACGGUAGCUUAGAAUUAAUUACAGUAUUGGUUCCUAACCUCUUCUCCUGUAUGCGCACGCCAGUUAUGUCAAGUUCAUUCUCACCAUCCUCAGUGUCAAAGUACGAUGCCUACAAAACCAUCUUGACUCGCACACGCCGUCUACUAACUCUUUUGAAGUAUCUGACAUCAUCAUCAUCGAGUCAGACAUGUAACCAAACUCUUUAAGAAAUUUAAAAAAAUUAGUACUGAGAUGGAUCAGGAUCUGCCAAAUUAUAACUGUGAUCUACAUGAUUAAACGGGGCUUAAUCGGAGUUGACGUGGUCAAUGUUUGUCAAAAUUAAUAAAAAUAUUGGUGAAACAAAAUAUAAAAGUUAGAUCCCUAAUAGUUUUUUUUAAAAAAUUAGAGCCAAAGUGAAAAAAAAAAAAAGGGUAAAAGUUCACAACCACAUAGGUUAGAGCCUUUUGGUAUUGUUAUUAAUUUUUUUUUCCACAUAGAACAUUGAUUUCUUUGAUUAAUUGUGUUAAAAAAUUUUAAUGGAUUUCAUAGCUCAGUUAGCUUUUAGCAAUUAAUUGAACUAGUUUUAUUGCUAUAAUAAUGUAGUUUAAACUAUAAAAUUUGAUGGAGUUAUCAAUUCAUUUUAUAAAAUUUUUCAAUUUAUUUUGCUAAAAUUACUCGAUUUCAAAAAUUCAAAAUUGAGGAGCUCUCAAUCGAAAAAGUUGUAGUUCAGGGGCGUUAGUUUUAGAAUCGCGAAUAGUUGGGGGGGUCACCAUACAUUUUUACCUCUUCUUACCUCUUCCAUUCCGAUUAGGGGUGUCAACGAGCCGAACACGAACUAGCUGGGGCCGGCUCGUGUUACACGAGCUAGCUCGUUAAAAUAUUGAGUCGAAAAAUUCGGCUCGUGUUCGGCUUGUUUAUUAACGAGCUGAACAUGAGCCGAAUACGAGCUCGCUUAUGAAUAAAAAUUUAAAAAAAUUAAAAAAUAUAUAUAUAGGAAAUAAAUUUAUAAGAUCUUAUCCGUUAUAUUUUGAUCUAAUGAUCAAAAUUUUACAUAUAAAUAAAUCAUUUUAUAAUUGAGUUGGACCUUAUAUGAUAGUGCGGCUAAAAAUCGAUUAAUAAAAAUUUUAUAUUAUAUACAUAUAUAAUAUUAAUUAUUAUAUAAUAAAUAUAUGUAUUCGAGCUGUUAUCAAGCCGAACACAGAGGAGCUGCCGUUAGCUCGUGUUCGCGCUCGUUUAUUAACGAGGCCUGAAAUAUCAGCUCAUACUUAGCUCGUUUAUUAAACGAGCGAUUCGAUCUCGAGCUUACUUCGAGCCGAACACGAGCUGACUCGCGAACGACGAGCUGGAUUGCCACCCCUAAUUCCGAUGUAGUGAUGCAAAUGGAUUCGGAUUUGUGGAGAUCCCGCCCCGAUCCGCCCCUUAGUAGGGUGGUAAGUGGGAAUAAAAAAUAACAAAAAAAAAAGAAUCCAUUUUGAAUCCGCUUCUGCCUCGUCCCGCUUCGAAUGAAAUGGCAAGUCAAAGCAAAAAAUAGGAUAAAUUUCAACCCGCUUCGAAUUUGUCCCGACCCGCUCCGUUUGCAUCCCUAUUUGGAAAGCGAGAUCACAUUUUAGGACAGAAAGGGUUGAUCACAUCACAAACUCUCUAAUCCAUUUAUACUCCAUUUUCUAUUUAUUAUAUAUUUAGUUUUAACAAGGAAACAUUAUUGUAAAAUAAAUACUUAAGUACGGUAUUCAAAUCGAUAAUCGAUACCGUUAAACUUGAACUUUUAAGUUCCAAAUUUUAUAAUGUUUUUUACUUCACUUGCUUGCGAUUAUAGUGGUAUGAAAAUCAGACUAUUUUUAAUGACUAAUAUAAGAUAAAUUUGAGACUAAACAUCACGAAAUUUAAGCUUUAUAAAGUUCGAAUAGUUUAGAUCAUGUUGUGAUUCAGAUAACCCUUCGCCAGAAGGGUUCAAAAGUAUUCUAACUUUACUCAUAAACUGACGCUUAUUUAUCGGAAAAUAAAAAGGGUGUCAAUCGAAGAGACCUCUUAUACUUUUAUAUUUGUUUUCAAAUGAUUAAAAAAGAUUUAAAAAUCAUAAAAAGUUUCUUAGAUAGGCUUAAUCCCAAAUGCUCACUACUCCUGAGCCAAACAAAAAGAAAUAAUCCCUGAUAUAAAAGUUCAUGAAUGUUGAACACAUUAUUGCUACAAUAAUGAGUAAAUAUUUCGCGGGUUAGCGAGGCGCUAACCCUACGCAAGAAACCGUAAAAUACGAAAUCGUUGAUUCCACCUCUGUUUAGUUCUCGCAGAAGUUCAGAAACCCCAUGUAUUCGCGAUGUUCGAUCAUCGAUAUCGUCUUCGCGGUUCCCACGACACCUAAACAUAGUUAAAAUUAGAAUUUCAGAUAUAUCGAAUACUGCUAUUGAAUGUUUGUUAUUUGCGGGUUUUCGAUCUACCCAUUGUUAGUGCACUCGCGAAGAUGACGGAGGAGAGAAUGAAUACGAUGAUCGAUGCCCGCUUGAGGAACUUCACUAGCUUCCUGACGAAGUACUGGCCCCAGAAGCCGGCCAUAACCGAGACUGAGAUGAGAUAUAAAGCUGCAGGAAAAAGAGAGCGUCAAGUUAGAUUGUCAGUCCUACUACCGAGUGAAAAGUUGAAAGCAAAUUUAAAAAAUAUUAAUCUAUAUAUAUAUAUAUAGAGAGAGAGAGAGAGAGAGAGAGAGAGAGAGCUAGGCUGGUAUACAAUUGGUAGCACGAAGGCCUCCGUGCUACCAAGUUGUUUUUAAUGAUGUGGCUUCCAAAUCGACGAUCGGCUCCGUUAGACUUGAUCUACACUAUUCAAAGUAUUUGGAAACUAAAUUUCAUAAUUUUUCGACAUCAUUUGGCUAGUGAUCAAAAGGUCUCAAAAUUGAUAAUUUUAAUGGUCGAUGUGAUGCGUUUGUGAAUUUAACGGCGUAAAACAAUCCAAAUCCGAUAAAAUUUUUAUAGAAAAUUCGUUUUACUAUUUAGAGUAAGAUCAGUACCUCUGAUCUUAAAUUCAAGUCUUUUAUCAUCAUUUUUUAUAAGAUUUUUAUUUUCAACCGUUCAUUUUUAGACCAUUUGUUUGAUAGAUAAAUGAUACCGAAAAAUUAUGAAUUUUAGUUUUCAAAUACUUUCAAUAGUGUAGAUCAAGUCUAACAGAGCCGAUCGUCGAUUUGGAAGCCACAUCAUUUGGAAAACAAAUCUUGAUAGCCACAAAUGCCCUCUAUGCUGUCGAUAGUUACCAGCCUAGUCUCCUCUCUCUCUCUCUCUCUCUCUCUCUCUCUUCUCUCUCUCUCUCUCUCUCUCUCUCUAUAUAUAUAUUAUAUAUAUAUAUAUAUAUAUAUAUAUAUAUAUAUAUCUGAACUAUAUUCGAGUCGAACACAGUGUGAGCUAACCCAAGCUCGUGUUCGACUCGUUAAGAUUUCAAACUCAAAACUCCAGCCAACGUUCGGCUCAUUGAGUGAACGAGGGAUCAAUCUCGAGCUCAUUUCGAGCCGAACACGAACUGGCCUCCGAAUGCCAGCCCUAUGUGGAAGGGGAGUACCAUAAGGGAUGGGGAAUCUCUUGAGGAAGUAGAACUCCACCACUGAGAGGGAUGAGGAGAACAUCAUCACAAAUGUUGCUGUGGCACUUGCAACCUAGCACCCAAAAAAAAAAAAAGUACAAAUUUAUAAUGAUGGAUUUUGUACAAAUUUCUGUUAGUUUGACACUCUUAUUCUGUCAAAUAUUUAUUUUUAAUAAUAUUAAUUUUAACACUGUAACCCCCUGUUGCAUAUUUCUAAUCUAUCUAGGAGAGCUAAGUGCAUAUAUUCGUUUUUUAUUUUAGGGGUUAAGUGCGACAAGUGAUAUAUUGAGUGAGGUAAUUCAUAUUUUUAGCCCCAAAAAAAUGAUUAAGAAUUCGAAUAUAAUGAAAUAUGAAAUCAUAUAUAACUAGAACAAUUAAGGUUCCCAGUUGGACGGCUGAAGCUCUUGCAAAAGUGUGGUCUGAGUAAUGUUAUUAAAAGAAGCACUGACAUAGUCUUUAUCAAAUUUGUCCUAAUUGGCGAUACUCAGAAUCUUAGUUAAAACCUUAAGAGACUCUAACAAGAUACAUGACUGGUUAGAAUGAUUAGCGUUUGUUUGGCAGAGCUAGACGACUAAACUUUCUGCAGAAAUAUUGUCCGAGCUUUUUCAAAAAUCGCUAACAACUUUUUCAGCAACAACAAUCCAAGGAACAUAUCUGGUUCUAACUGGGGGAGAUUCAGAGUAAUAACUUGUGAGCAUCUCAACUGGUGAUCAGUGAUCACAUGAAUGGGGCCCCAUUAAGAGAGAUCACUCUCUUGUGAUUUUCUUUGUGGAAAAUUGGAAAUAAAAGCCCUUAGUCUCAACAUGUGGUUAAAAUAGGAAGGUACCUACCCUAGUAAGUCUCCACCAGUUAAUGUGUCAUGAGAAAGAACAGGGCCACUUUUUUUUAGCAUCUUGAACACAUCCAAAAUACCAAAAACCAAACCACCACUAACAUGCAAAAAUAGAACUGAUGACCCCUUUGCAUACAUCAGCAAUCUAUUCAUCAUUAUGAUAAUGUUAUGUAAGUUAAUUAUCAAAUAUUUUAGGGGUCCUCAAACUUCAGUUUGUUGCAAUUUAUUGUUCAAACUUUCUAAACUGUUGCAAUCAAGUCUGCAAUUCAUUUCGUUGAUAUGUCAUUAAUGUGAAAGUAAUAUAGUAGCGUUGUGAUUGAUGAUGUGGUAAUAAUUAAGAUAUCACAUCACUUUCACAUCAGCGAUACAUCGAUCUUUAUUUAACUAAUCUGAUUGUAAUAAUUUAGAAACUUUGAACUAAAAAUUAUAAUGAAUUACAGUUUACAGAUCAGAAUGUUACAUGCCUAGUAGUUGGAGAAUCAAAAGUAUAAAUUACCCCUACAUUUUAGAGCCUAUGUUAUUUAAAAACAAAAAGAAAGGUAGUGGAUGCCAAUAUCUACUGUAAAAAGUACAGUAGUACAUUGAAUUUUAGGGCCCAUAUGUGAAAAUAGGCACAAGGAGGGAUCAAAGAAGAAUCAAAAUGUGGGUACACUUAUGAAAAAGAUUGAAAGAGACUUUUAAGUCCAUUAGUUCAAUUAAUUUAGGAUUUGCUGUAGGACAAGAAUUUUACUGUACUAUCGAAGAGAUAAAAGGUGAUUUGACAUUGUAAUCAGUGAGUUUUGAUUUGAAUUUUUCACUUCUUUUCUUCAUUUUCAACAUUUAUCCAUCACUUUGUGACGGUCACUAACUUUACACGCAAUGUAAUUCAUGAGCGUUAUUCAAGUGUUUAAGCGAAAAGUACAGAAAGGAAUAAGUACUAAUCCAUAGUACGUACCUGAGGGAUCACGCCGAUCUCGAGGAGGAGAGGGCCGAGAAUGAAGCCGCCGCCGGAGCCGAGGAGGCCGCCAACGGUGCCACCUAGGAGGCCGCAGAGGGCGCAGAAGAGCAGCUGCGGCGCAGUCCAGUCGAUGGAAGCCUCGCAAACACGCUCCAUGUUUCCGCACGUGCGUCGUGCCCGGCUCUCCCGCCACAGCUUCACCGCUUCCCACGCGAACACACUCGCCGCGAUCGGAAUCUACGAAGCGCUCAUUUUUCAAUAGAUGCGAGAAUUUUCUUCAAUGUACGCCGAUCAUUUUAUGUCAAUGUAAUCUAUAGAUAAAGAGAAAUUAAAAUUUAUCGGUGUUCUGAAAAUUUUGGUUUCUAACACGCAGAUUGUGGAUUCGAAUGUCUCAAUACCAAUUUUCUGAUUAAUAAAAUAUUUAAGCCAUAUCAAAUCAACUGUAUCCUAAUCUAUCUGUGCCAUGCAAUGCCAAAAUUGCCCAUGUGAGAGUUAGGCAUGCUCAUGUUACAUAAACAAACAUAAAAAGGAAAAGAGAAAGAUGAGCACCUGCAAGAUAUUUAUUGCCCAGUAGAAGAUGCUACAUGUUUCUGACCCAUUCUGCAACCCCAUUGAACCAAUUUUAGCAUCUUACACCAUCAUAAGAACCAAUAAAUGCCAAACACUAGAGACAGAAACAACUAGAUAUGUAGAGAGAGAGAGAGAGAGAGAGAGAGAGAGGUUACUAAUCACAUGCCUUUAGGAUUUGGAGUACAAGAAAGGAAGACCAAACCAGCAUAAGGAUAAGGAUUCCCUUCCACCUUAUGUUGAACAAAAGUGCUUCCUUGGGAAAUAAAAAAAACAACAUCACAAUGAUGAUCACAACACAAAAUGAUGAAGCAGGUUUAAGCUUUUGAAGAACAACGAUUAUCUUACACAAUUUAACAUGAUAUCAGAACAAGUCUCGAGUUUGAGCUCGGCCCUUAUUAAGUCAAUGUCUUGAACAAGAUUUUAUGUGCCCGUUGGCACGGGCCAUAUCCACCGUGCUAAUAAUAUACCGGCACAAUACAGAUCCCGUGCCGAUGGCACAACUCAAAACCCUCUAUUCUUUAAAUUAAUAAGUAAUUUUUUCAAUAAAGUUUAAAAAUGUGAUAAAAAGACAUAAUAAAUAAUUAAAAUAUUUUGUUACUAAAGAAAAUAAAUAUUUCAUGCUAUUAUGUAUCGGCACACAAGAAUUUUUUUUGAUUGGCACUGCUCGGCAUGGUGCCGUACCAUACCGGCAAGUUUCCGGCACGAUCUCGUGCCACGGCACUUAAAUCCUUGGUCUUGAACUUUUUGAGAAGUUUUGAAUAUAAAUAUUAGAAAUAUCAUUCUCUGAAAGCUUGAUCUUUCGAAGAAUAACAAUUAUUUC
rnacentral:lncRNA from 1 species